UGCAGUCGAGCGAAUCGAUGGGAGCUUGCUCCCUGAGAUUAGCGGCGGACGGGUGAGUAACACGUGGGCAACCUGCCUAUAAGACUGGGAUAACUUCGGGAAACCGGAGCUAAUACCGGAUACGUUCUUUUCUCGCAUGAGAGAAGAUGGAAAGACGGUUUACGCUGUCACUUAUAGAUGGGCCCGCGGCGCAUUAGCUAGUUGGUGAGGUAAUGGCUCACCAAGGCGACGAUGCGUAGCCGACCUGAGAGGGUGAUCGGCCACACUGGGACUGAGACACGGCCCAGACUCCUACGGGAGGCAGCAGUAGGGAAUCUUCCGCAAUGGACGAAAGUCUGACGGAGCAACGCCGCGUGAACGAAGAAGGCCUUCGGGUCGUAAAGUUCUGUUGUUAGGGAAGAACAAGUACCAGAGUAACUGCUGGUACCUUGACGGUACCUAACCAGAAAGCCACGGCUAACUACGUGCCAGCAGCCGCGGUAAUACGUAGGUGGCAAGCGUUGUCCGGAAUUAUUGGGCGUAAAGCGCGCGCAGGUGGUUCCUUAAGUCUGAUGUGAAAGCCCACGGCUCACCCGUGGAGGGUCAUUGGAAACUGGGGGAACUUGAGUGCAGAAGAAGGAAAGUGGAAUUCCCAGGUGUAGCGGUGAAAAUGCGUAGAGAUUUUGGAAGGAACACCAGUGGGCGAAAGGCGAACUUUUCUGGUCCUGUAACUUGACACCUGAAGGCGCGAAAAGCGUGGGGAAG
rnacentral:rRNA from 1 species